GGGAGGGAUGAGCAACGAUGCUGCCUCUGUUUGCGCCGCACAUCAGCAGCCAAGCUCCUCUCUCUCUAUCUCUCUUUCCCUCAGUCAGACAGACCCAGGCCAGGCAGAGGCAGCGCGUCCGCCCGGAGAGAGAGAGAGAGCACGCACCGCAUAGCGCUACAGCCGACUGACCCAGAACGUUAGUCAUAUUCAUGGUCUUUUCAAAUGGACGUCUCCUCUGAUACCGCCUUUUGACACUGGACGGUGCUCUUAUAGUCGCGUUCAACGUGUGAAACGUCUCAUCCUGGGCUUGUUUUUUUAUUAUUAGGUAACUGGUUCGCCUCGACGACACAGAGAGAACCAUACUCCCCCCUCCAUCGAUAGCUCGCUAAGCUAAGCUAGCCCGCUAAUUUAGCUGUGAUACUUUGUAGCGAAUCGGCGUCCGUUUUCUGCCUCCUAGCUAGCCUGCGGUCAGUUGCGCCACAGCGGUGGAUUGAGGCGCCCCGGCAAUCCAGUGUUUUAACAAGUCCCGCCCUACUGUGCUGUGUUUGGCUAGUACUCGUCACUUUGGAUUGGAUGCUGGCAAAGGAUACAAGCAAGCCCAUAUGAAAGUGACGGUACAGAGCGGUGCUAAAGAAAGAGCAAAGCACCUGCAGGACCGACACGCCAUCCUCUAUAAAGAACCUGGAGUGGUGGAGACGUCUGCCCUUUCAACAUCACAAAAGAGCAUGUUUGAGUGACGUGCAAAGGAGGAAGUGGGAUCUCUGACGCUCCCCGCCCUGUCUUCUGGUGGAGCACCCUGCACAUCUGACCAGAGACCCCUUUAGUCACUUAGGAACAGGUAUGAG